rnacentral:rRNA from 1 species
AGAGUGAACGCUGGCGGUAGGCCUAACACAUGCAAGUCGAACGGCAGCACGGUAAGAGCUUGCUCUUAUGGAUGGCGAGUGGCGGACGGGUGAGGAAUACAUCGGAAUCUACCUUUUGGUGGGGGAUAACGUAGGGAAACUUACGCUAAUACCGCAUACGCCCUUCGGGGGAAAGCCGGGGACCAGCAAUGGCCUGGCGCUGAUAGAUGAGCCGAUGUCGGAUUAGCUAGUUGGUGAGGUAAUGGCUCACCAAGGCGACGAUCCGUAGCUGGUCUGAGAGGAUGAUCAGCCACACUGGAACUGAGACACGG